GACGAACCGUCCUAACGUUGUUCGGAAUCACUGGGCUUAAAGGGCGCGUAGGCGGGUGACCAAGUCCGGGGUGAAAUCUUUCGGCUUAACCGGAAAACUGCCUUGGAUACUGGUCAUCUCGAGGGAGGUAGGGGUCUGCGGAACUUCUGGUGGAGCGGUGAAAUGCGUUGAUAUCAGAAGGAACGCCGGUGGCGAAAGCGGCGGACUGGACCUUCACUGACGCUGAGGCGCGAAAGCUAGGGGAGCAAACGGG
rnacentral:rRNA from 1 species